rnacentral:rRNA from 1 species
UAACCUUACCGGUGGAUCACCUCGGCUCGU